rnacentral:lncRNA from 1 species
GAGCACCCUUAAUCUCCUCCAGAGUUGGUGUCUCCAAAGUUGACAUGGGUCGGAUAUGAGUCCAGAAAAAACGCUUCUUGUUAUUUGCCGUGUUGAGGGCUUAGUUUUCGUCUCAGAGGGUUAGGUUCUCCGAUUCGAGCUGGUUGAGCUUCUCGGCGCUCUGCUCCAGUUGUUUGGAAUGCUCGUCGAGCUACUCCUUCAAGCUCUGGACUUCUGAGGAGAGCUCGGGAUUCUCCACAACCUCUUCUCGAGCUCUG